rnacentral:rRNA from 1 species
GACGAACGCUGGCGGCGUGCUUAACACAUGCAAGUCGAACGGAAAGGCCCUGCUUUUGUGGGGUGCUCGAGUGGCGAACGGGUGAGUAACACGUGAGUAACCUGCCCUUGACUUUGGGAUAACUUCAGGAAACUGGGGCUAAUACCGGAUAGGAGCUCCUGCUGCAUGGUGGGGGUUGGAAAGUUUCGGCGGUUGGGGAUGGACUCGCGGCUUAUCAGCUUGUUGGUGGGGUAGUGGCUUACCAAGGCUUUGACGGGUAGCCGGCCUGAGAGGGUGACCGGCAACAUUGGGACUGGGAUACGGCCCAGACUCCUACGGGAGGAGGCAGUGGGAAUAUUGCACAAUGGGCGGAAGCCUGAUGCAGCAACGCCGCGUGCGGGAUGACGGCCUUCGGGUUGUAAACCGCUUUCGCCUGUGACGAAGCGUGAGUGACGGUAAUGGGUAAAGAAGCACCGGCUAACUACGU